AUGCGAACGAAGAUGGCUCUCAAAACACCAGGAAUAAUAUGUUGCCACUUGCCACCACUUCAGAGGAAAACAGGAGGUUCUGGUUCUAUUGCUGCUCUUAAGGAACCUGUUGGUCCACUGUCUACGGGUGCUCGUGGUUCUGGUUGGUUCGUCCAGCUAUGUCUUCGGCACCGCUCUACAGGUCGACCCUUUCUCUCCUUCUAUUCUCAGCUCUCGAGGCACGUGCUUGUGUUCUUGCAGCCAUAUAUCUUCCGUGUGCACUUAUUGGUAGAAGCCUGGCAUCUAAAAGUAUCAUUGUUUGCUUGUAAAACUGCAGUAGGCAUCAUUCUUGUUUUUUGCAGAACUGAAUUUACUAGCACCAUUUUGCAUCUUGACAUUACUGUACAAAUUCCCACCUGCUCCCCUGUUUCUUGGUCAAAACUGAAUGUUGACAGAGUUUUGGUCAAAACAUUAGAUGAUGUGAGCUUUUUCAGCUAUCCAAAGUUUUAA
rnacentral:rRNA from 1 species